rnacentral:rRNA from 1 species
UGCCAGCAGCCGCGGUAACACGUAGGGACCAAGCGUUGUCCGGAUUUAUUGGGCGUAAAGAGCUCGUAGGCUGUUGCGUAAGUCGGAUGUGAAAACUCAGGGCUCAACCCUGAGACGCCAUCUGAUACUGCGCUGACUAGAGUCCGGUAGGGGAGCAUGGAAUUCCUGGUGUAGCGGUGAAAUGCGCAGAUAUCAGGAGGAACACCAGUGGCGAAGGCGGUGCUCUGGGCCGGUACUGACGCUGAGGAGCGAAAGCAUGGGGAGCAAACAGGAUUAGAUA